AAAACAGAAGUGUCAGCGGAGGACUAUAAGUGCUAUGUGAUUGGACGAAGGUGGCCACAGAAUUUCACCUGCCCAGCACAUAUUCUCUCAUCCUCUCCUCCUCUGCCUUCCUUGGGAGGGAGAAAUCAGAAGGAGUGGGGAUGCAGUUCAGAGAGCAGAGGAGAAGAGAAGAAAAGAAGGAAGAAGGAAGAGGACUAGGGUUGGGGUGGGGGAGGACACCAAUGGGAAGAGGGACAGACAACUCUAUACACAAAGUAAAUCAAAACACCAAAAACAGGGUCUACGUUAAAGAGGCCCUCUUCCCGUGAAUUGCUCAUUGCAUAGCUGCAGGGAGGGUGUUUAGGGGCAUAGAGAAUGAAAACAUACCUGUAUUUUGGUGUAGGGGAAAUUGUUUCUUCAGUUCACACCGUCCACACGCCACCUCCACCCCAAACUCUGCCACUACCAAAUUCCUCUAAAUAAAAAUAAUUAUGAGAUACAGGCCAACCAAAAACGUCAGCGUUAGGCUGUUAUUUAGAGAGAAUUGGAAAGCGUUUGGAUGUGUCCCUGUUGUUUAAUAAAUGAUAACAAUGAUUA
rnacentral:antisense_RNA from 1 species